rnacentral:rRNA from 1 species
AACGAACGCUGGCGGCGUGGAUAAGACAUGCAAGUCGGACGAGAUUUUUCGUUGUAGCAAUUUGAUGGGAAGUUUAGUGGCGAACGGGUGCUUAACACGUGGGCAACCUGCCAGGAAGUGGGGGAUAGCUCGCCGAAAGGCGAAUUAAUACCGCAUGUGAUUAGAGAGGACAUCCUUUCGAAAUUAAAGUCGGGGCAACCUGACGCUUCUUGUGGGGCCCGCGGCCUAUCAGCUAGUUGGUGGGGUAACGGCUCACCAAGGCUUUGACGGGUAGCGGGGCUGAGAGGACGACCAGCCACACUGGGACUGAGACACGGCCCAGACACCUACGGGUGGCAGCAGUCGAGAAUUUUUGACAAUGGGGGAAACCCUGAUCGAGCGACGCCGCGUGGAGGAUGAAGGUCUUCGGAUUGUAAACUCCUGUCAUUGGGGAACAAUGCGUGACGGUUAACUGCCGUCGCGUUGAUAGUACCCGAAGAGGAAGAGACGGCUAACUCUGUGCCAGCAGCCGCAGUAAAAC